UACGGGGGGGGCAAGCGUUGUUCGGAAUUACUGGGCGUAAAGGGCUCGUAGGCGGCCAACUAAGUCAGACGUGAAAUCCCUCGGCUUAACCGGGGAACUGCGUCUGAUACUGGAUGGCUAGAGGUUGGGAGAGGGAUGCGGAAUUCCAGGUGUAGCGGUGAAAUGCGUAGAUAUCUGGAGGAACACCGGUGGCGAAGGCGGCAUCCUGGACCAAUGCUGACGCUGAGGAGCGAAAGCCAGGGGAGCAAACGGG
rnacentral:rRNA from 1 species